rnacentral:lncRNA from 1 species
UUCUUUGCUUGACUAAAAUUAAAAACCUGUUCUUCUAUUUUAUACCCGAAAAUCCUCUCUACCUGUUGUUCUAUUUUAUUUCUCAGUCUGUUCUUUGAUUUCUCGAAACCUAAACACCCACUGUGCCCCCUUUCCUCAGAGGCUGUAACCGAGCAACUGUUUACCUAGUUUCCCGACGCCUAGCCACUUUACCCAGCAGCGAACUUAGUCUUAGCAAGUAUGUGAGGUUUUUGAUGUUUUUUUGUUUGGGUUUGGUAAAAUUUACUUUAGUUUUCAAUCGUGUUAAAAUUUUAGAAAUUUUAAUUUGGGUAGUUCAAAUGUGCUUUAUUCAUUAACUGACCUAGAAUUCGGAUUUUGGAUUUAGAUUAAUAAAUUACAUGCCAUUAAGAUCGAUGGGUUACGUGAAGAAAUCCAUUCAGAGGGAUUUGGACAAUUGCAAUGCUAAGUUUUAAAUGAUUGAUAGAUUUUUGUUUCUUUUCUUUUAAGGAUGAUAAAUUUUUUUUAAAAUUUUUGUAGUUGUCAGGAUUUUUUGUAAGACUUUAUUAUCAAAAUGUAAGACCUCAAAGCGAGGAAAGCUCUCUCCGACUAUUUUUUUUGUUCACAAAAUUUGAACUCAGAGACUUUACUAAUCAGUAGGGACUUAACCUUGUUAGAGAAAAGUUAAAUUCAUGAGACCUUCGGGUUAAAGAUUACCUAAAUUCUCAGCUUGAGUUAGUGGCAACUUUAUAGUGAAUGAGAGCAGAUCUGUGGUGUUUCAAAUCUGGGGUACACUUUACACCAUUUAGAACUAUCUCAAAUUUGGAGUCAUUGCCAUUGGGUUGAAUUUGAUGAAACAUCUAUAGGCAAUAAUACAAUUAAUCACAGUGGCAUUCCAGGGUAUGAUUGUUUUUUUUAUUGAAGCAUAUAAAAGAACAUAUAUGUUGCAUUUUCUGCUUACAUAGUUCUUCCUUCCAGCUCUGAAUUGUAUGGACUUGAGCCUGCCCUGAUGGCCUUGCUUGGACUGCCCACAAUGGGACAAAAGAAGUAUUUGAUAGCAUGAAUAGUAUUUGUUAGCAAUAAAAUAAACUAAUGUAAUUAUUAGAAUAGUAAUUAUAUUUUUUAUACUUGUUUUUGUUAUUCUUUAAAAAAAAUUAGUAAUUUAUUAAUCCUUUGCUAAACAAAUUUUUUCUUUAAUGCAGUUGCGAAGAUGGUUGCACACAAAUUCACUGUUGAUUUGAAUAAACCUCUUGUCUUCCAGGUACGAGUAAGAUCAUAUGUUUGAAUUUGGUUUAUCUUAUGGAACAAGCAUAUGUGGUGACAGUUUUGGUGUUACUGGUUUUCAGUUCACUUAUUUAGUUUCUUAUGUGAUUAAAAUAGCUACAUAUAGUCAUGUUAUGUGAUUACAUUGGCAAGUUCUUGAUAUAGAGCACGAUUUUGCAGGGCAGUUACUAAGCUCCAAAUAUUCUAUUUCUUUCUCUUUUUUGGUCAGACUGAAUUAAGCAGGCCAAAGUGUGUAAAGGUAAUAGCAGUGAAUUUCACCCUUAUUUUUAUAACUGCUGCUUUCUCUUCACUUGUACUUAUUAUUUAUUUUCUCCUUUGAUGAAAUGUUGCCAGCCUCUUGAGUAGUUGUGUUAGAUUGUUGUUUAGGAAAUUUGUUAGCAUUUGAGGAAGCUUCACGAAUUUUUGUUUCCUAUUUGCAAGCUGGUUUAGGUAAAUAUUUGCUAGCACUUGGUGUGUGUAUCUACUGUACUGGGUUUAUGAAUGUUAAUUUGUUUUCUUGCAGGGUUUUGGUUUGGGGAAACAUUUAAGUUUGGGUUUGGAGAUACGUAGUUAUCAGCAUUAGUUGGCAGAUAACAUUGGCAGAUAACAUUGUCCAAGUGCAGGUUGCAGCUCUUUGCCAAGGUGCGCUAUCCUUUUUAAUAUCUGGUACAGACUAGAAUUAAUGGUUGUUUUUAUUCCUGUUUUCUUUAGUCUUUGACCACUAUCACAUAAAGAGCUUGAUAUUGAAAAACAGAAGCAUAAUGCUUGGUAUAUAUUUUCCAGAUAUUGUAGAAUUAACACGAAAACACAAAUCGCAUAUUUUUAUAAAACAAAAAAUAAAGGGGUCACAAUCCUUCUUAUCCACUCUCCAACAUUCGCUUUUUGCAGUAGUAAAUAUAUUAAAAAAAUUAUGUCCAAAAUGUAAAUAAAAUAAUGAUAGAAGCAAGCAAUCUCAUCUGCAGAAGGUGAUGAUUUUGUUUUGCUUUUAUUCGGUAGAAACAAUGGUUACAUUUGAUUUUAGUGGAAUUUUUGUUUAUUCCUUUUGGGUUAGGAUAAAAUCAAAGUGGUGAGGAGCACCGACAUUCCCUUUUUUACACGUAUUCAUUUUCCUUAAGCUGCCAAAAUAACAAACUAAGGACUUCCAAUUCUGUGAAUUUUCUGAAUAACUUUUUUAUUAUUGUUGGGUGGGAAGAAUGCUCUAAGUGUAUGACUACUCAAUUUAUUUAAAUUAAACCAAUUUUACUAUUCCUCUUCCCUUGUCUCCAUCUAUAUAAAAUUCUGUCUUUUAUUUUAUUUUCCGGGAAAAACUAAAAUGAGAAAAAAACUCUAUUGUGGGUUUUUCCAAUAGACCAAUAAAAUAAAUAGAGUGAAAAUUAUAUUAAAAUAAAAGUGAAAUGAUUUAUGCAUGCAAAUAAAAUAUCUUGAUAUUUGUGAAAAAUGUUCCCCCAAGUCAUGAUCAAAAUGCUGAAAAUUGCAGUCCAAAAAUAUAUUUGUUGAACCCCACU